AGGGCGGUGGCUCAAGUGGUAGAGCAGCGGUCUCCAAAACCGCAGGUUGCAGGUUCGAGUCCUGUCCGCCCUGC
rnacentral:tRNA from 1 species